rnacentral:rRNA from 1 species
UACAUGGGGUGCAAACGUUGCUCGGAAUUAUUGGGCGUAAAGCGCACGUAGGCGGUUCGUUAAGUCGGAUGUGAAAUCCCACGGCUCAACCGUGGAAGUGCACUCGAAACUGCGCAGCUAGAGUCCUGGAGAGGAAGGUGGAAUGCUUGGUGUAGAGGUGAAAUUCGUAGAUAUCAAGCGGAACACCGGUGGCGAAGGCGGCCUUCUGGACAGUGACUGACGCUGAGAUGCGAAAGCGUGGGGAGCAAACAGG